rnacentral:rRNA from 1 species
UACGUAGGGACCGAGCGUUGUCCGGAAUCAUUGGGCGUAAAGAGCGUGUAGGCGGCCUUUUAAGUCCUGCGUGAAAUCCUGCGGCUCAACCGCAGACGGUCGUGGGAAACUGGAAGGCUAGAGUGCGGGAGAGGAGAGUGGAAUUCCUGGUGUAGCGGUGAAAUGCGUAGAUAUCAGGAGGAACACCGGUGGUGUAGACGGCUUUCUGGACCGACACUGACGCUGAGACACGAAAGCGUGGGUAGCAAACAGG